rfam:Homo sapiens chromosome 5, GRCh38 reference primary assembly.
GCUGGGCAUGGUGGCGUCUGCCUGUAAUCCCAGCUACCUGGGAGGCUGAGGCAGGAGAAUCGCUUGAACCCAGGAGGCGGAGAUUUCAGUGAGCCAUGAUCAUGCCACUGCACUCCAGCCUGAGUGACAGAGUGAGACCCUGUCUCAA